rnacentral:rRNA from 1 species
UUAAGCGACUAAGCGUACACGGUGGAUGCCCUGGCAGUCAGAGGCGAUGAAGGACGUGCUAAUCUGCGAUAAGCGUCGGUAAGGUGAUAUGAACCGUUAUAACCGGCGAUUUCCGAAUGGGGAAACCCAGUGUGUUUCGACACACUAUCAUUAACUGAAUCCAUAGGUUAAUGAGGCGAACCGGGGGAACUGAAACAUCUAAGUACCCCGAGGAAAAGAAAUCAACCGAGAUUCCCCAGUAGCGGCGAGCGAACGGGAGCAGCCCAGAGCCUGAAUCAGUGUGUGUUAGUGGAAGCGUCUGGAAAGGCGCGCGAUACAGGGUGACAGCCCCGUACACAAAAAUGCACAUGCUGUGAGCUCGAUGAGUAGGGCGGGACACGUGGUAUCCUGUCUGAAUAUGGGGACCAUCCUCCAAGGCUAAAUACUCUGACUGACCGAUAGUGAACCAGUACCGUGAGGGAAAGGCGAAAAGAACCCCGGCGAGGGAGUGAAAAGAACCUGAAACCGUGUACGUACAAGCAGUGGGAGCACGCUUAGGCGUGUGACUGCGUACCUUUUGUAUAAUGGGUCAGCGACUUAUAUUCUGUAGCAAGGUUAACCGAAUAGGGGAGCCGAAGGGAAACCGAGUCUUAACUGGGCGUUAAGUUGCAGGGUAUAGACCCGAAACCCGGUGAUCAGCCAUGGGCAGGUUGAAGGUUGGGUAACACUAACUGGAGGACCGAACCGACUAAUGUUGAAAAAUUAGCGGAUGACUUGUGGCUGGGGGUGAAAGGCCAAUCAAACCGGGAGAUAGCUGGUUCUCCCCGAAAGCUAUUUAGGUAGCGCCUCGUGAAUUCAUCUCCGGGGGUAGAGCACUGUUUCGGCAAGGGGGUCAUCCCGACUUACCAACCCGAUGCAAACUGCGAAUACCGGAGAAUGUUAUCACGGGAGACACACGGCGGGUGCUAACGUCCGUCGUGAAGAGGGAAACAACCCAGACCGCCAGCUAAGGUCCCAAAGUCAUGGUUAAGUGGGAAACGAUGUGGGAAGGCCCAGACAGCCAGGAUGUUGGCUUAGAAGCAGCCAUCAUUUAAAGAAAGCGUAAUAGCUCACUGGUCGAGUCGGCCUGCGCGGAAGAUGUAACGGGGCUAAACCAUGCACCGAAGCUGCGGCAGCGACGCUGAUGCGUUGUUGGGUAGGGGAGCGUUCUGUAAGCCUGCGAAGGUGUGCUGUGAGGCAUGCUGGAGGUAUCAGAAGUGCGAAUGCUGACAUAAGUAACGAUAAAGCGGGUGAAAAGCCCGCUCGCCGGAAGACCAAGGGUUCCUGUCCAACGUUAAUCGGGGCAGGGUGAGUCGACCCCUAAGGCGAGGCCGAAAGGCGUAGUCGAUGGGAAACAGGUUAAUAUUCCUGUACUUGGUGUUACUGCGAAGGGGGGACGGAGAAGGCUAUGUUGGCCGGGCGACGGUUGUCCCGGUUUAAGCGUGUAGGCUGGUUUUCCAGGCAAAUCCGGAAAAUCAAGGCUGAGGCGUGAUGACGAGGCACUACGGUGCUGAAGCAACAAAUGCCCUGCUUCCAGGAAAAGCCUCUAAGCAUCAGGUAACAUCAAAUCGUACCCCAAACCGACACAGGUGGUCAGGUAGAGAAUACCAAGGCGCUUGAGAGAACUCGGGUGAAGGAACUAGGCAAAAUGGUGCCGUAACUUCGGGAGAAGGCACGCUGAUAUGUAGGUGAGGUCCCUCGCGGAUGGAGCUGAAAUCAGUCGAAGAUACCAGCUGGCUGCAACUGUUUAUUAAAAACACAGCACUGUGCAAACACGAAAGUGGACGUAUACGGUGUGACGCCUGCCCGGUGCCGGAAGGUUAAUUGAUGGGGUUAGCGCAAGCGAAGCUCUUGAUCGAAGCCCCGGUAAACGGCGGCCGUAACUAUAACGGUCCUAAGGUAGCGAAAUUCCUUGUCGGGUAAGUUCCGACCUGCACGAAUGGCGUAAUGAUGGCCAGGCUGUCUCCACCCGAGACUCAGUGAAAUUGAACUCGCUGUGAAGAUGCAGUGUACCCGCGGCAAGACGGAAAGACCCCGUGAACCUUUACUAUAGCUUGACACUGAACAUUGAGCCUUGAUGUGUAGGAUAGGUGGGAGGCUUAGAAGUGUGGACGCCAGUCUGCAUGGAGCCGACCUUGAAAUACCACCCUUUAAUGUUUGAUGUUCUAACGUUGACCCGUAAUCCGGGUUGCGGACAGUGUCUGGUGGGUAGUUUGACUGGGGCGGUCUCCUCCUAAAGAGUAACGGAGGAGCACGAAGGUUGGCUAAUCCUGGUCGGACAUCAGGAGGUUAGUGCAAUGGCAUAAGCCAGCUUGACUGCGAGCGUGACGGCGCGAGCAGGUGCGAAAGCAGGUCAUAGUGAUCCGGUGGUUCUGAAUGGAAGGGCCAUCGCUCAACGGAUAAAAGGUACUCCGGGGAUAACAGGCUGAUACCGCCCAAGAGUUCAUAUCGACGGCGGUGUUUGGCACCUCGAUGUCGGCUCAUCACAUCCUGGGGCUGAAGUAGGUCCCAAGGGUAUGGCUGUUCGCCAUUUAAAGUGGUACGCGAGCUGGGUUUAGAACGUCGUGAGACAGUUCGGUCCCUAUCUGCCGUGGGCGCUGGAGAACUGAGGGGGGCUGCUCCUAGUACGAGAGGACCGGAGUGGACGCAUCACUGGUGUUCGGGUUGUCAUGCCAAUGGCACUGCCCGGUAGCUAAAUGCGGAAGAGAUAAGUGCUGAAAGCAUCUAAGCACGAAACUUGCCCCGAGAUGAGUUCUCCCUGACCCUUUAAGGGUCCUGAAGGAACGUUGAAGACGACGACGUUGAUAGGCCGGGUGUGUAAGCGCAGCGAUGCGUUGAGCUAACCGGUACUAAUGAACCGUGAGGCUUAACCU